GGAAGGGCUGCUGUAAUUUUAUGUUUUUGACUCAUCCCCCUAGGCCUCUCAUAGUGUCCCAUGCCAGAGCAAACCCGGCCCUGAACCAUUGCCAGGCCUCUGCCAGUAGGCUGCAGGCACUGAAGCAGGUUGCACAGUG
ensembl:snoRNA